rnacentral:rRNA from 1 species
UACGUAGGCAGCGAGCGUUGUUCGGAGUUACUGGGCGUAAAGGGUGUGUAGGCGGUUGUUUAAGUUUGGUGUGAAAUCUCCCGGCUCAACUGGGAGGGUGCGCCGAAUACUGAAUGACUUCGAGUGCGGGAGAGGAGAGUGGAAUUCCUGGUGUAGCGGUGAAAUGCGUAGAUAUCAGGAGGAACACCUGUGGUGUAGACAGCUUACUGGACCAUUUCUGACGCUGAGACACGAAAGCGUGGGUAGCAAACAGG